CCCCAGCACCAGGCUUCCUGCAUGGAACCGGCUCCGCAGCUCAUCCAGCCCUGGUCACCCUGCCCCAGUCCCUGUGCUCCCGCAGGCACUGCACGGUGCCCAUCGCCCUUUGGAGGAUGGCUUGGAGCAAGCUGCUCUAGUGGAAGGUGUCCCUGCCCGUGGCAGGGGAUUGGAACUGGAUGAGCUUUAAGGUCCCUUCCAACUCUAGAAGCACCAGUGAGAGCAUCCUCUAUCACCUCCUCCCGCCAGGGCCACCAGCAUUCACCUCCCACAGCAUCCCAGUGGAUGCUGAAUCACCCACACCAUGUAGUGCCUGCCUGCUGCAGCAUCACCACUGCAGGACCUGCUUUUUCUGUGUGGCAAAUGGCAGUUCUCCUCAGCAAGCACUGCCUCCAAGCUCCAGCACUGUUCAGGCACCGGAGCCAGGGCCACAGGGGGAUUUGCUUAUCUUGCUCAGUCCUCAAGGAGGAAUUCCCAGCACAGAGAAAAUGGGAUUUAGCCUGUUCCCACCAGCAUCACCACAGCCCAGCCUGAGUCAUCUCGUUAUGAGUGACCUUUCUCGCCGUGAGUCACCGCGAUGCCGUCCCAGCCCCAGGAUGCAGGACUGCAGCCACGCGCCAGCGCCCGGGAUGUGAUGCUGGUCACCGAGUGGGACACGAGCAGCCAGACAAUCCCUGGGGAUCCUUCCCACUCCCUCUCUGAUGGCUGCUGCCACUAUCAAAGCCAGAUUCCAGUUUGCACCCCCGGAGCAUGGGGCUGCAGCCACUCAAAGGCUGGGCAAGAACCCCAGGGACCUUGCGCCAAUGCAGGGCAGGAGGUCAGCAUGGGGACAGGUUCUGGAGAGGCUGUAAAGCAUCUCAGCUCCUGUGCACAGACACCGUUGUAGUGUGGAUAGAGCCACGUAACACCACCACGUGUAGAAUAAAGUCCAUUUAUUUCAUAGCAAGAGGCAGUGUAA